rnacentral:lncRNA from 1 species
CUCAAACUCCUGACCUCAAGCGAUACUCCCUCCUUGGCCUCCCAAAGUGCGGAGAUUAUAGAGCCUUCAAGAAGGAAGGAAAGAAGGGGGUGGGCAGAGAACCUCCUCCCCGCUGGACCAGAGUAAUCUCCGCUGUGAUGUUGAAGAAAAUACAUCUGAGUUCUGAGCUAGAUGGACAGAUUUUAAACCUUUGAACCUUAGAAUGGACUGAUGGAAAACAGCGGCUGGGGGUGGUGGCUGACCACCAGAUGUAGAUGGCUGGUGGACAGCCAUCUAG